GAGAAACAAAACAUAAUUUCGCGGUCGUCAGGAACAAAAAAGGUGAAGUGCUUUGAAGAUCACCGGAAUUGUAAACGACUGCCAAAGUGCCAACGCAGGAAAAACGAUUGUGCAUCGGCCCGCAAUACUUAAACGGACGGUUCAUCACCGGAUUUUGCUAACGUAAAGAAAGACACUCGCCGCAGUCGAAUCAACGGACGCAAAGUUAGAUCCGGAAGGAUUUGCGGAUUAAUUCGUUCCCGUUGGUCGUCGUAAUUCUGUCCCCGAAGAAAUUGACCCGAAGGAAAAACGUGCAACACCCGAAUAGAGCUAGCCAAAGAUCCGAGGAAUUAGAAUAUAACAGAUACCUUGCGCGAUCGGUUUUGUUCGUUCGAGAGCAGGUACUACGCAGCUUCGAGCCACGAAGAUAAAAGGACCCCAUCGGGGUUCUUUUUGGGGCUCGGGUUUUUCAUCGGCCGGCCAACACGAGACGUAGUCCUGAAACCAUAUUGUCAACAUUGAGAUCCGGGUCGUGUUCGGUUCGGCUCCGCAGCAGGAACGGCGCAGUUGCGGCGUGACGAACGGCGAAAGGUGUGUGGAAGACUCGACGUGGGAAGGAGGUGCCUCGGAGGGACCCCAUCCAGCUACCCGGUCGCACUGGACGGCCAGAGGGGUCUCCAGCAGAGGCAGCGGCGUAGCAGGUCGAGAAGAAUAGCGGAAGCGCGACAAGUUGAGAGCAGAAUGCGUGCGUGGUGCGAAGGCAGUCGUCCGUUCGCGACGAGGUUCGGCACACUAGGGGGACGCCCCGAGUAGCUGGUCCGGAAAUCAAAGGGUACCGUGAGUACGAGAAAAUUAUGUUAGCCUGUAAGAAGAAAGAAGUAGAGAACUAGAAGUAGGAUGGAGAGAGUAUAGAUGAAGAGAUAAGAAGGCGGUAGGAGGAAGAUUAGGGCAAAUGCCCCAAAUAUAUGUAUUGAU